rnacentral:rRNA from 1 species
GGGUAAACCUGCGAAACUCGAAUGAACGAACGGAGAGAUUCAUCGUCAUUCCGCGGCGUACGGGCUGCGCGCUUCGAUGUCGUCGGCCUCGGCCGGCAGACACGACUCGCGUCCGUCGACGUCCGCGGACGGCGUGCACUUCUCUCUUAGUAAAUACAUCGCGACCCGUUCGAUGUCGGUCUAAGCGCCGUUCGGGAGCCCCACGGUCCCUCACAAGGGGUCUGUGGGACCGCGACGGUGGCCGACCGGCCGUCGGACGGUAGUUCUGACGAAACGCGCACGCGUUUACAACGCGUCCGGCCCGACGCAAGUCAACGUCGUAUCCCGCGUACCGCCUCAGCGCGGACGUAGGUGCGGCGCGUCUGCUGUUGCCGCCGUGCAGUCUCGGACUGUGCGCGUCUCUGUCUGCGAUGAUUCAGUUUCGGGCACUCGCAGGACCCGUCUUGAAACACGGACCAAGGAGUCUAGCAUGUAUGCGAGUCAUUGAGAUAUAAAAACUGAAAGGCGCAACGAAAGUGAAGGCGCGCGCUAGCCGCGCGCUCAGGGAGGAUGGAGCGUCGAUCUAGGUCGAUCUCUCGCACUCCCGAGGCGUCUCGUUUCCAAUCUGUGAAUGUAGGCGCGCUCUGAGCAUAAAUGCUGGGACCCGAAAGAUG